CGUUACUCUCCAGCUUAAAAAACCCUCAAUGUGGUGGUGCCUAUUUCAAAGCAGGCAGGAAUAAAGCAAGCCUUUGUUUAUUCCAGCUUUACUCUUGGUUUCUGCCCCUGUCUGCUUCAUGCUUUGGACACAUGG
rnacentral:snoRNA from 1 species